rnacentral:rRNA from 1 species
ACGAACGCUGGCGGCGUGGAUAAGACAUGCAAGUCGAACGAGAGAAUUGCUAGCUUGCUAAUAAUUCUCUAGUGGCGCACGGGUGAGUAACACGUGAGUAACCUGCCCCCGAGAGCGGGAUAGCCCUGGGAAACUGGGAUUAAUACCGCAUAGUAUCGAAAGAUUAAAGCAGCAAUGCGCUUGGGGAUGGGCUCGCGGCCUAUUAGUUAGUUGGUGAGGUAACGGCUCACCAAGGCGAUGACGGGUAGCCGGUCUGAGAGGAUGUCCGGCCACACUGGAACUGAGACACGGUCCAGACACCUACGGGUGGCAGCAGUCGAGAAUCAUUCACAAUGGGGGAAACCCUGAUGGUGCGACGCCGCGUGGGGGAAUGAAGGUCUUCGGAUUGUAAACCCCUGUCAUGUGGGAGCAAAUUAAAAAGAUAGUACCACAAGAGGAAGAGACGGCUAACUCUGUGCCAGCAGCCGCGGUAAUACAGAGGUCUCAAGCGUUGUUCGGAAUCACUGGGCGUAAAGCGUGCGUAGGCUGUUUCGUAAGUCGUGUGUGAAAGGCGCGGGCUCAACCCGCGGACGGCACAUGAUACUGCGAGACUAGAGUAAUGGAGGGGGAACCGGAAUUCUCGGUGUAGCAGUGAAAUGCGUAGAUAUCGAGAGGAACACUCGUGGCGAAGGCGGGUUCCUGGACAUUAACUGACGCUGAGGCACGAAGGCCAGGGGAGCGAAAGGGAUUAGAUACCCCUGUAGUCCUGGCAGUAAACGGUGCACGCUUGGUGUGCGGGGAAUCGACCCCCUGCGUGCCGGAGCUAACGCGUUAAGCGUGCCGCCUGGGGAGUACGGUCGCAAGAUUAAAACUCAAAGAAAUUGACGGGGACCCGCACAAGCGGUGGAGUAUGUGGCUUAAUUCGAUGCAACGCGAAGAACCUUACCUGGGCUUGACAUGUAAUGAACAACAUGUGAAAGCAUGCGACUCUUCGGAGGCGUUACACAGGUGCUGCAUGGCCGUCGUCAGCUCGUGUCGUGAGAUGUUGGGUUAAGUCCCGCAACGAGCGCAACCCCUGUCCUUAGUUGCCAGCGUGUAGAGAUGGGAACUCUAAGGAGACUGCCGUAGAUAAUACGGAGGAAGGUGGGGAUGACGUCAAAUCAUCAUGCCCCUUAUGACCUGGGCUACACACGUGCUACAAUGGCGUAACAAAGGGAAGCAAGCCUGCGAGGGUGAGCAAAUCCCAAAAAUAACGUCCCAGUUCGGACUGUAGUCUGCAACCCGACUACACGAAGCUGGAAUCGCUAGUAAUCGCGAAUCAGAAUGUCGCGGUGAAUACGUUCCCGGGUCUUGUACACACCGCCCGUCACAUCAUGGAAGCCGGUCGCACCCGAAGUAUCUGAAGCCAACCGCAAGGAGGCAGGGUCCUAAGGUGAGACUGGUAACUGGGAUG